AUGAGUACUCCUAUAUGGGGGCACUAUGUCGGUUUUAUUUACAAGUUAUAAUCUCAUUAUUUUUACACAUUGAUUAUGGUAGCGUUAUUAUUUAACUCUAGAAGCUGACGCUUAAGUUAUAGCAACAUAAAUAUUGUUGAAAUGUUUGAACCGUUUAUAAUAUUGAAGUGUAUUUAGAUGUUAUAAAUUUGUUAGAGUAGGGAGAAAUGUUAUUUUCAGCGUCACUGUCAUAACUCUAGUGGAGCUGUACGCUUGUUGUCACAUUCUCGUGGGCUUUAAAAAAAAAAACUAGUAUUCGCUCGAAGUGUUGUGCAUUUUUUUUUAUAUAAAGAUUAAUUACCGAUUUAUCAUGCUGUCUCAAGCUUCUUCCUCAUCUACCCUACAACAACAGCCUUUUGCAGAUAAUCAGCGUCGGAAUAGACGUCAUAGGACCAACCAAGCUAGUGGUCACCGACGAGGUCGAAAGCGUCGCGCACACUCAAAUGAUGGCGACCAUGUCCGACAGAACUCACGAGCGACUGUUGCUAAUAAGUCGGUGGCUGAGACAUCCGGCAAUGAAAAUCGAAACUCAGUAAUAUCGGAAGCUCCGAAUUUCAUUUCGAAAAUAGACGAUCUCAACAAUCACAUGAAAGAACCAUUGCUCAAUGACCAAAAUCUGCCGGAUACAGAAAAAGAAGAAGAGGAUCACAGUCGACCAAGGUCCCCAUCAUCUGAUUCAUCAUCAUCAUCAUCAGGCUCAUCAGCAGUGACAAGAAUAUUGAAAAUAACAUAUUCAAAUCAACCGGACGUUGUAAUGCAUAGGGCACGAGAUGACGCUGAAGAAUCAGAUGAUUUACAACAGCUAGAAGAUAAUGAACCGACACAACUCAAUAGUGAUUCACAUUCAGAAAGUGAAGAUGAUAACUAUAAAUCAUUAGAUCUACCAAACAAAAUCGAAGACGACAAUGUAGCAGCAUCUAUGAAACUAUUGGAAGAUUUACGAGCAAAACAUGCGGCCGAUACAGAGCGUUUACUUAAUGAUUUUGAGUGGAAACUUCGACAAGUAGAGCAAACAUGGAAAAACAAAAUGGACGAAAUGCUUAAGACUAAAAAUGAUGAGAAGAAUAAAUUAGAAAUGGAAAUCCGAAGAGUGGCUGAAGAAGAAGCUGAUAAAGCGGUGGCUGAAGCUCAAUUACGAGCAGAUGAAGCAGAAUCUCGUUUAAGGUUAAAAGAAGCUGAGUUAGAGAGUACAAAAGUUUCUGCAGCUUCAGAAAUAGCAAAAUUGACUGAAGAAGCGGCUAAAAUGUAUGAAAUGAGUUCUACAUUAGAAGCAGCGCAGCAACGACUGCAGGAAACUCAACAAGCUCUCAGGGAACAGUCAGAAAACCAUGACUUAGCAUUACGAACACGUAUGGAAAAUGCCGAAUCGCAGUUUAAGCAAAAAACCGAAGAAAUGAAAGCAGAUUUUGAUUCCAGAGUAGAACAAGCGGAACGAGCGAUUCGCCGACAGUGGAAAGCAGAUGAGAAAGAAUGGGCAAGUCAAAUAGAAACACUAAAAAAAGAUUUAGAAAAAGUGAAAACAAAUUUAGCUACAGUGCAAGGAAUUCAUGUCAGAGAACUUAAUGAAAAUGAACUCAAAUUUAAACAAAAGUUAAAAGAUGAGAUUGCGCAAAUCGAAGUCAGGUUAAUCGAAAAGUAUCAAACACAAAUAGAUACAAAAGAAAUUCAAUUAAAUAGAAAGAAACAACUUUUAGAGACUACCAGGGAUCAGUUGGCAACUGCAAUUUCUGAGGGCGAGAAGAAUUUGAAAGAGGCUCAUCUUGAAGCAAACCAUCGAUUGGAAGAAGAAAAGAAGAAACAUAAGAUAGAAAUUGAUCAGCUACGUACGCAAUGUGACAUAGAGGCAGUGGAUACACGACGGCGGUUUGAUAAGUUGGACAUGUGGUAUAUAGAACGAUUAGAUUCUCAACAAACAGAGCACGAUCGUACAUUAGAACGUCUACAUCAAGAAUGUGAUUUAAAAGUAGCAGCAUUGGAAAAAGAAAUGCAAGAUAACAAUCUAAAAUUUGAAGCACGAUUAAACGAAGCUCAGAAUAAUGUUAAUGAAGCAGAACGUAAAGCUAAUGAGAGUCGACUAAAAUUGGUUGAUGCUGAACGUAGAGCCAAAGAAGCUGAGUCAAAACUUGAGAAUUUGGCAUUGCGAUGGAGUAAAGCAGAACAUCAUGUCAAUGAAUUGGAAGUUAAAUUACAAGAAACUUCCAAACUAGCAGCUGAAUCUAAAAAUAAAGUCAUAGAGGAAUUCGAGCGUAGAAUAAGUGAAUCUCAAAUUAAAGUUAGUGAAGCAAAGCAAAGAGUUACACAGCUAGAGGCAUGGAAAGCCAAAGAGACGGAACGCAUAGCUUCCGAACAGAAAAUAAAAGAAGCUGCUGAAAUCAAGUUGAAGGAAAAGAAAGAACUUGAAAAUCAAACUCAAAACAAUAACAACGAUGAGAUGAUAGCCAAAUUACUAGAAGAACAGGCUUCACGAUUGGACAAACAUUGGCAAUCAAUGAUCAAGCAAAGAGAAGCGCAGCUAAUAAUGGAACAUGGACAAAGGCUAGCCGUAGAAAAAGAGAGACAUGCAAAACAACUUACACAAUGGCAUGCAUUAACGGAGCAGCUCAAAGAUAAAUUGGAAGAACGAGAUGGACACCAUGAAGCAUUAGAAAAAACCAGUCACUGCAGUGAUGAAAACUUACACAAGACUGACCAACAGUUUGUCAAAGAAAUAUUACAGAUAAAAGUACAAGAAACAAUCAAUGGAAAUUGUAUUUCAAAACCGUGUCCAGCCUCUGAAUAAUAUUCACAAAAUAUGCAAAAUUUAUGUACAAUGAGGAGUAAAUUGAUUAAAUAAAAUUUAUGACGUAAGUAACAUGAAAAGGGAGUGGUUCAUUUGCUUAAUCUACUUGAUGGGAGCAUAUUUUUGAUUGCGUCAAAUCGCACAUAAAAUUGUGUGUGUUUCAUUGUAUAGUUUUGUGUUUAGGUAUUAUCAUUUGUAGUUUUUUAUGUAAUGAUGCAUCAUAGUGAAGGUGAUAUAAGACAAAAUACUUACAUAUAGGAAUGCUUUAAACAUUUGUAUGUAUGAAUGUUUAGAUUGAUUUCAUAUUUAAUUUCUAUUAGAUUAAACUGGUUUUAUGAAAAUAGCUUUUUUAAUG